rnacentral:ncRNA from 1 species
UAAUGAACCUACUAAAUGAACAAUAGUAAAGAGGAUUCUGUUAAUUAUAGGUCUCGACCCUAGUCGAGAAUAAAUCUGGCUGUAUGCUGGAAAAUCUUGUUAAAUGGUAAAGUACUGGUAUGCAAUUUGUGUACUAGUGAAAAUCUUUACCCUGAGAUUAUCAGCAGGAAAGAUCCCGCUUAUCGGGAAAUCCUCACAGGCCAUACGCCAGAGUACGUUCAAUUUAUAUGUAUGAAUGUACAAGAUAUGGUCGGACCCUCAUGGUGACAUGAGG